rnacentral:lncRNA from 1 species
UCGGGGGGGCGGGCCAUAUUUUACGCUGUCUCUUUCAAGCUGCACUUUUGGCCACUUUUGCCUUCGCUGCGCAGCUUCGUUGUGUUUUAUUGGCUCCAUUUUCUUGGUGGGGUGUUGACUUCAUUUUCGUGGCAGUUAGCACUAGGCAGAGUUGCAGACAAUGUCUUCGGAGGAGUUGGCCCUUCAGGUUGCCCCUGGUGGUGGAGGUAGCCCUGCUUCGCACUGCUUCGCAGUCAG